rnacentral:lncRNA from 1 species
AUAAAACCUGCAAACAAUUUCUUUCUAUAUUUACUUGUUCAAGUGCCAGUGAAACGAACGAUAGAAAAGAAGAAGCAUUCAACUACCGUGAGACUUCUGUCCCAAUCUAACCUAGUGGAUUCAAAAAGAAAGGACCGAAAGGAGAACAUGAGGGGGUUAAAAGAAUCAGCUCUUUUUGAAUUUUGAAGUCGUAACCAGCUCGUAUGAAAAGAGUUCUCGACGUGAAUUAGUUAAUUUUAUUCAACAACACCAAGAAACAGAAA